rnacentral:rRNA from 1 species
UACAGAGGUCCCAAGCGUUGUUCGGAUUCAUUGGGCGUAAAGGGUGCGUAGGCGGCGCGGUAAGUCGGGUGUGAAAUCUCGGGGCUUAACUCCGAAACUGCAUUCGAUACUGCCGUGCUUGAGGACUGGAGAGGAGACUGGAAUUUACGGUGUAGCGGUGAAAUGCGUAGAUAUCUGGAGGAACACCGGUGGCGAAGGCGGCAUCCUGGCCUGUUCUUGACGCUGAGGCGCGAAAGCUAGGGGAGCAAACGGG